rnacentral:rRNA from 1 species
GCUUAACACAUGCAAGUCGAGGGGCAGCACAGGUAGCAAUACCGGGUGGCGACCGGCGCACGGGUGAGUAACGCGUAUGCAACUUGCCUAUCAGAGGGGGAUAACCCGGCGAAAGUCGGACUAAUACCGCAUGAAGCAGGGGCCCCGCAUGGGGAUAUUUGCUAAAGAUUCAUCGCUGAUAGAUAGGCAUGCGUUCCAUUAGGCAGUUGGCGGGGUAACGGCCCACCAAACCGACGAUGGAUAGGGGUUCUGAGAGGAAGGUCCCCCACAUUGGUACUGAGACACGGACCAAACUCCUACGGGAGGCAGCAGUGAGGAAUAUUGGUCAAUGGCCGAGAGGCUGAACCAGCCAAGUCGCGUGAGGGAUGAAGGUUCUAUGGAUCGUAAACCUCUUUUAUAAGGGAAUAAAGUGCGGGACGUGUCCCGUUUUGUAUGUACCUUAUGAAUAAGGAUCGGCUAACUCCGUGCCAGCAGCCGCGGUAAUACGGAGGAUCCGAGCGUUAUCCGGAUUUAUUGGGUUUAAAGGGUGCGUAGGCGGCCUUUUAAGUCAGCGGUGAAAGUCUGUGGCUCAACCAUAGAAUUGCCGUUGAAACUGGGGGGCUUGAGUAUGUUUGAGGCAGGCGGAAUGCGUGGUGUAGCGGUGAAAUGCAUAGAUAUCACGCAGAACCCCGAUUGCGAAGGCAGCCUGCCAAGCCAUUACUGACGCUGAUGCACGAAAGCGUGGGGAUCAAACAGGAUUAGAUACCCUGGUAGUCCACGCAGUAAACGAUGAUCACUAGCUGUUUGCGGUACACUGUAAGCGGCACAGCGAAAGCGUUAAGUGAUCCACCUGGGGAGUACGCCGGCAACGGUGAAACUCAAAGGAAUUGACGGGGGCCCGCACAAGCGGGGGAACAUGUGGUUUAAUUCGAUGAUACGCGAGGAACCUUACCCGGGUUUGAACGCAUUCGGACCGAGGUGGAAACACCUUUUCUAGCAAUAGCCGUUUGCGAGGUGCUGCAUGGUUGUCGUCAGCUCGUGCCGUGAGGUGUCGGCUUAAGUGCCAUAACGAGCGCAACCCUUGCCACUAGUUACUAACAGGUAAAGCUGAGGACUCUGGUGGGACUGCCAGCGUAAGCUGCGAGGAAGGCGGGGAUGACGUCAAAUCAGCACGGCCCUUACAUCCGGGGCGACACACGUGUUACAAUGGCGUGGACAAAGGGAGGCCACCUGGCGACAGGGAGCGAAUCCCCAAACCACGUCUCAGUUCGGAUCGGAGUCUGCAACCCGACUCCGUGAAGCUGGAUUCGCUAGUAAUCGCGCAUCAGCCAUGGCGCGGUGAAUACGUUCCCGGGCCUUGUACACACCGCCCGUCAAGCCAUGGGAGCCGGGGGUACCUGAAGUCCGUAACCGAAAGGAUCGGCCUAGGGUAAAACUGGUGACUGGGGCUAAGUCAUAACAA